rnacentral:rRNA from 1 species
GGGGAAUUUUCCGCAAUGGGGCAAGCCGAGGGAGCAAUACCGCGUGAGGGAGGAAAGGCCCUUUGGGUUGUAAACCUUUUUUUCGGGGAAGAAGAAGUGACGGUACCCGAGGGAAAAAGCCUCGGCUAACUCCGUGCCAGCAGCCGCGGUAAUACGGAGGAGGCAAGCGUUAUCCGGAAUUAUUGGGCGUAAAGGGUCCGUAGGUGGUUCCUCAAGUAAAUGGUCAAAGAGCGGGGCUCAACUCCGAAGGGGCCAUGGAAACUGAGAAGCUAGAGUGCGGUA